rnacentral:rRNA from 1 species
ACUCCUACGGGAGGCAGCAGUGGGGAAUAUUGCACAAUGGAGGAAACUCUGAUGCAGUGACGCCGCGUGAGUGAAGAAGNGUCUUCGGAUCGUAAAACUCUGUGCCUUGGUGAAGAAUAAAAUGACGGUAGCCAAGGAGGAAGCCCCGGCUAACUACGUGCCAGCAAGCCGCGG